AUUGAACGCUGGCGGCAGGCCUAACACAUGCAAGUCGAACGAGUGGCGGACGGGUGCGUAAUGUCUGGGAAACUGCCCGAUGGAUGGGGCUAAAUACUGGAAACGGUAGCUAAUACCGCAUACCAUCGGAUGUGCCCAGAUGGGAUGAGCUAGUAGGUGGGGUAACGGCUCACCUAGUCGACGCUCCCUAGCUGGUCUGAGAGGAUGACCAGCCACACUGGAACUGAGACACGGUCCAGACUCCUACGGGAGGCAGCAGUGGGGAAUAUUGCACAAUGGGCGCAAGCCUGAUACAGCCAUGCCGCGUGUAUGAAGAAGGCCUUCGGGUUGUAAAGUACUGUCAGCGAGGAGGCGUUACUCGCAGAAGAAGCACCGGCUAACUCCGUGCCAGCAGCCGCGGUAAUUC
rnacentral:rRNA from 1 species